UUUGCCUUUAAAAACAGUCCUGUGAGGCUGGCAAGGUUACGGAUAAACACGCAAUUAUUAUGCAUGCAUAUAUUGCACCUUGCCAUCUUUCGUUGGUAAGGUGCUUUUUAUU
rfam:Bacillus ginsengihumi strain M2.11 NODE_2, whole genome shotgun sequence.